UUAACAUGUGAAAUGUCCGGAAAGUAUCAUCAUAUGAUUGGUUUUAGGGCACAUUUCCAACAGGAUCCACUCCCUUGGGCGAUGUGGGUUGUUACAUUACACAUCAAUAUGCAGUGUAGCUGCAAUAACUGAACGUAAUGCAUGGGUAAAGGCCGAACAAAUGUAAAACUAAUCUCUAUUAUUUAAAUGUUUCGCGAAGUUUUUUGUGGCGUGGUAGUUGUUUUAUUACUAUUGUUCAUUCCACUAUCAUUUAGAUAAUGCUUUACAACUCAAAGCGAUAAAGUGAAGUCGUAACAAGGCAUCAAAGCAAAUACAUCGAAAUUUUAUUCUGACGUAGGAAAUAUCCCACAAAUUUUUUAGCCCUAUAGAAGUUCAAUUCUCUGCUUAAGAUAGCGAAGAAUGAGGUGGGACGGAUAUUACAAUUAUACAAUGAUUAAAUACUCGGUCAGCUCUAGCUUGAAUGGCAGUUUUGUUUCCGGUGUGCUCAUAUGUAAAGGUGUUGUUCACAAAAACAUUAUGGCAUGGUUUUCCCAACGCCACAAGGGCCCGGCAACUAAAGUCACCAAUUUUCUUCCCUUUGAAAACAUAGUUGUACACGUCGAAUGCAUACUUUAUGCUGAAAUGCUUUUUGCACUCAACAACGGCCGGCGAAUCAUCCAAAUGCGCCAACGUUGGAAGUGCGCAAUUCGCCAAUAGCAAAAUGACCAUAAUUGUAAACAUGUUUAGUCUGGCCAUAAUGGUGGAAAGAAUGAGUAACUUUUGAUUUUCUUAGAAACUGAUCCCUUAGAUGCAGUUGAACUUUGACACAAUGAGUUGUACACUUAUAAGGGACGAGGCAAAGGUGCGAGUCAUUCGUAAAAUGAAAAACGCAUUUUCCUUUAAAACUACUUUAGCAACGUAUUUACUGAUGUGAGGUAUCAAAUACGGGAGUUUCUAAUUUGAUAUUUAUUUUGGUACCAUAAACGCAACUUACAAGUUCCCAUACAUUGUUUAAUUAAUCUCAACAAUCAAAUAGCUAUUUAUUAUUUCACACAAAAAUUACUUGUUUCAAAUUAAUACACUAACUAGUUUGUUACAAUAGAGUUGCGAAAACCGUGAACUGAACUUUCAUGUCGUGUUAGUGGCUAUCGUUGCGUGAAAAUGAAAUGACAAGCAGGAAAAAGAGCGCGACUAGCCUUAAUUGUUCUGCAGUAAAUGGACAAACGUAUUUCUCGGCAUCAUUAUUCCUACUAUAUCAAAAUGAAAAAUGUGGAGUAAGAGAUUAAUAUGUUAAGAAGCGAAGAUUUGUUGAAGUCCAAUAGAUUAAGUAAAUGAGCACCCCUUUCUUAGUAAACUCAUUUUAGCAUAAAUUUGCAUUAUAUCGCACCCUACUGCGUAUGGUACAAUACUCAUGCCCUACAACAUCAAAUAUAAUGGUAAUGAGUUGCAGUUGCGUCAAUGAUAAGUUGAAAAUCAUUCAACAAAUAUUCUAGUUUUGUUUAUUCAGACCAAAGAAAAAAAGACGAAAAAAAAAAGAUACGGAGGUAUAAUAAUUUUUAUGACUGGAAUUGUACCUCUCAUAUAUAUAUAUAAAUAAUUUCUUUGGAUUGGAGUUCAUAAAGCAUGGUACAUAUAAUUUUGCUAGCUUCCCUUUUUGCGAUGCAAAAUGAACACACUUUUUGCAAAGUGUGGAAUGUCCAUAGCAACUUGAACCAAAUGGCCAAUAAGAGUCAAUCAAAAGUCUUUCACAAGCCUAUUUCAACGUCGUUUUGUAAGAAGUUUGGGCAAUACGCCAUGGCGAAAAGCAACAUAUGUUUCUAGAAACAUAAGCAUUACAUGUCACAUCCCGGCCCAGGCUCCCACCACAUCCGAACUCGACUCCACCGUAGCACGACAUUGUCCGCUUUCAGCCCCCGGCCACACCCUCACGGUUUUGCUUCUGGGAACUCACACGAGAAUUUCCCAGUGGGUCACCCAUCAUGUGAUUGCUUUCACACGAACUCACUGAACUUCUGAGUUCCGAUGGAACCCGGAGCCAGUGAUCUCCCAAAAGGCCUCAUGCUAGGUAGCGUUGGGAAUAUACAUAUAAGGCUUACAAGAUCCAAAUGAAUAUGCAGUGUAGCUGCAAUAACCGAACGUAAUGCACGGGUAAAGAGCGCGGCUAGCCUUAAUUGUUCUGCAGUAAAUGGACAAACGUAUUUCUCGUCAUCAUUAUUCCUACUAUAUGAAAAUAAAAAUGUGGAGUAAGAGAUGAAUUUGUUAAGAAGUGAAGAAUUGUUGAAGUCCAAUAGAUUAAGUAAAUAAGCACACAUUUCUUGGUAAACUCAUUUUAGCAAAAAUUAGUAUUAUAUCGCACUCUACUGUGUAUGGUACAAUACUCAUGCCUCACAAGCCCGAAUAUAAUGUUAAUGACUUGCAGUUGCGUCAUUGAUAAGUUUCAAAUCAUUCAACCAAUAUUCUAGUUUUGGUUAUUCAGACCAAAGAAAAAAAGAUGGAAAAAAGAAGAUACGGAGGUAUAAUAAUUUUUAUGACUGGAAUUGUACCUCUUAUAUAUAUAAAUAAUUUCUUUGGAGUGGAGUUCCAUAAAGCAUUGUACAUAUUAUUUUGCUAGCUUCCCUUUUUGCGGUGCAAAAUGAACACACUUUUUACAAAGUGUAGAAUGUCCAUAACAACCUGCACCAAAGGGCCAAUAAGAGUCAAUCAAAAGUCUUUCAUAAGCCUAUUUCAACUUCGUUUUGUAAGAAGUUUGGGCAAUACGCCAUGGCGAAGAGCAACAUAAGUUUCUAGAAGAAAUAAACAUUACAUGUCACAUCCUGGCCUAUGCUCUCACCACAUCCCGAACUCGACUCCACCGUAGCACGAUAUUGUCCGCUUUGGGCCCCGAUGACGCCAUCACCAUUUUGUUUCAGGGAACUCACACGAGAGCUUCCCAGUGGGUCACCCGUCAUGGGAUUGCUCUCGCACGAACUCAAUCAACUUCAGAGUUCCGAUGGAACACAAAGCCAGUGAGCUCCCAAAAGGUCUCGUGCAAGGUAGAGAUGGGAAUAUGCGUAUAAGGCUUACAGGAUCCACUCCCUUGGGCGAUGUGGGAUGUUACAUUACACAUCAAUAUGCAGUGUAGCUGCAAUAACCGAACGUAAUGCACGGGUAAAGGCCGAACAAAUGUAAAACUAAUCUCUAUUACUUACAAUGUUUCGCGAAGUUUUUUAAGUUGGCGUGGUAGUUGAUUUAUUGCUAUUGUUCAUUCCACUAUCAUUUAGAUAAUGCGUUACAACUCAAAGCGAAAAAGUGAAGUCGUAACAAGGCAUCAAAGCAAAUACAUCAAAUUUUAUUAUGACGUAGGAAAUAUCCCACAAAUUUUUUAGCCCUAUAGAAGUUCAAUUCUCUACUUAAGAUAGCGAAGAAUUAGGUGGGACGGAUGUUACAAUUAUACAAUGAUUAAAUACUCGGUCAGCUCUAGCUUGAAUGGCAGUUCUGUUUCCGGUGUGCUCAUAUGUAAAGGUGUUGUUCACGAAAACAUUAUGGCACGGUUUUCCCAACGCCACAAGGGCCCGGCAACUAAAGUCACCAAUUUUCUUCCCUUUGAAAACAUAAUUGUACACGUCGAAUGCAUACUUUAUGCUGAAAUGCUUUUUGCACUCAACCACGGCCGGCGAAUCAUCCAAAUGCGCCAACGUUGGAAUUGCGCAAUUCGCCAAAAGCAAAAUGACCAUAAUUGGAAACAUGUUUAGUCUGGCCAUAAUGGUGGAAAGAAUGAGUAACUUUUGAUUUUCUUAGAAAAUGAUCCCUUAGAUGCAGUUGAACUUUGACGCAAGGAGUUGUACACUUAUAAGGGACGAGGCAAAGGUCCGAGUCAUUCGUAAAAUGAAAAACGCAUUUUCCUUUAAAACUACUUUAGCAACGUAUUUACUGAUGUGAGUUAUCAAAUACGAGAGUUUCUAAUUUGAUAUUUAUUUUGGUACCAUAAACGCAACUUACAGGUUCCCAUAAAUUGUUUAAUUAAUCUCAACAAUCAAAUAGCUAUUUAUUAUUUCACAUAAAAAUUACUUGUUUCAAAUUAAUACAUUGACUAGUUUGUUACAAUAGAGUUGCGAAAACCGUGAACUGAACUUUCAUGUCGUGUUAGUGGCUAUCGUUGCGUGAAAAUGAGAUGACAAGCAGGAAAAAAAGCGCGACUAGCCUUAAUUGUUCUGCAAUAAAUGGACAAACGUAUUUCUCGUCAUCAUUAUUCCAACUAUAUUAAAAUGAAAAGUUGGAGUAAGAGAUUAAUUUGUUAAGAAGUGAAGAAUUGUUGAAGUCCAAUAGAUUAAGUAAAUGAGUACACGUUUCUUGGUAAACUCAUUUUAGGACAAAUUAGUAUUAUAUCGCACCCUACUGUGUAUGGUACAAUACUCAUGCCUUACAAGCCCGAAUAUAAUGUUAAUGAGUUGCAGUUGCGUCAAUGAUAAGUUUCAAAUCAUUCAACCAAUAUUCUAGUUUUGCUUAUUCAGACCAAAGAAAAAAAGAUGGAAAAAAAAAGAAACGGAGGGAAAAUAAUUUUUAUGACUGGAAUUGUACCUCUUAUAUAUAUAAAUAAUUUCUUUGGAGUGGAGUUCCAUAAAGCAUUGUACAUAUUACUUUGCUUGCUUCCCUUUUUGCGGUGCAAAAUGAACACACUUUUUACAAAGUGUAGAAUGUCCAUAACAACCUACACCAAAGGGCCAAUAAGAGUCAAUCAAAAGUCUUUCAUAAGCCUAUUUCAACUUCGUUUUGUAAGAAGUUUGGGCAAUACGCCAUGGCGAAGAGCAACAUAAGUUUCUAGAUAAAUAAGCAUUACAUGUCACAUCCUGGCCCAUGCUCUCACCACAUCCAGAACUCGACUCCACCGUAGCACGAUAUUGUUCGCUUUAGGCACCGACCACGCCGUCACCAUUUUGUUUCAGGGAACUCACAUGAGAGCUUCCCAAUGGGUCACCCAUCAUGGGAUUGCUCUCGCACGAACUCAAUCAACUUCAGAGUUUCGAAGGAACACAAAGCCAGUGAGCUCCCAAAAGGUCUCGUGCAAGGUAAAGAUGGGAAUAUGCAUAUAAGGCUUACAGGAUCCACUCCCUUGGGCGAUGUGGAAUGUUACAUUACACAUCAAUAUGCAGUGUAGCUCCAAUAACUGAACGUAAUGCACGGGUAAAGGCCGAACAAAUGUAAAACUAAUCUCUAUUACUUACAAUGUUUCGCAAAGUUUUUUAAGUUGGCGUGGUAGUUGUUUUAUUACUAUUCUUCAUUCCACUAUCAUUUAGAUAAUGCUUUACAACUCAAAGCGAUAAAGUGAAGUCGUAACAAGGCAUUAAAGCAAAUACAUCGAAAUUUUAUUCUGACGUAGGAAAUAUCCCACAAAUUUUUUAGCCCUAUAGAAGUUCAAUUCUCUGCUUAAGAUAGCGAAGAAUGAGGUGGGACGGAUGUUACAAUUAUACAAUGAUUAAAUACUCGGUCAGCUCUAGCUUGAAUGGCAGUUCUGUUUCCGGUGUGCUCAUAUGUAAAGGUGUUGUUCACGAAAACAUUAUGGCACGGUUUUCCCAACGCCACAAGGGCCCGGCAACUAAAGUCACCAAUUUUCUUCCCUUUGAAAACAUAGUUGUACACGUCGAAUGCAUAGUUUAUGCUGAAAUGCUUUUUGCACUCAACCACGGCCGGCGAAUCAUCCAAAUGCGCCAACGUUGGAAGUGUGCAAUUCGCCAAAAGCAAAAUGACCAUAAUUGGAAACAUGUUUAGUCUGGCCAUAAUGGUGGAAAGAAUGAGUAACUUUUGAUUUUCUUAGAAAAUGAUCCCUUAGAUGCAGUUGAACUUUGACGCAAGGAGUUGUACACUUAUAUAGGACGAGCCAAAGGUGCGAGUCAUUCGUAAAAUGAAAAACGCAUUUUCCUUUAAAACUACUUUAGCAACGUAUUUACUGAUGUGAGGUAUCAAAUACGAGAGUUUCUAAUUUGAUAUUUAUUUUGGUACCAUAAACGCAACUUACAAGUUCCCAUAAAUUGUUUAAUUAAUCUCAACAAUCAAAUAGCUAUUUAUUAUUUCACAUAAAAAUUACUUGUUUCAAAUUAAUACACUGACUAGCUUGUUACAAUAAAGUUGCGAAAGCCGUGAACUGAACUUUCAUGUCGUGUUAGUGGCUAUCGUUGCGUGAAAAUGAGAUGACAAGCAGGAAAAAGAGCGCGACUAGCCUUAAUUGUUCUGCAGUAAAUGGACAAACGUAUUUCUCGUCAUCAUUAUUCCUACUAUAUGAAAAUGAAAAUGUGGAGUAAGAGAUGAAUUUGUUAAGAAGUGAAGAAUUGUUGAAGUCCAAUAGAUUAAGUAAAUGAGCACACGUUUCUUGGUAAACUCAUUUUAGCACAAAUUAGUAUUAUAUCGCACGCUACUGUGUAUGGUACAAUACUCAUGCCUCACAAGCCCGAAUAUAAUGUUAAUGAGUUGCAGUUACGUCAAUGAUAAGUUUCAAAUCAUUCAACCAAUAUUCUUGUUUUGGUUAUUCAGACCAAAGAAAAAAAGACGGAAAAAAAAAAGAUACGGAGGUAUAAUCAUUUUUAUGACUGCAAUUGUACCUCUUAUAUAUAUAAAUAAUUUCUUUGGAGUGGAGUUCCAUAAAGCAUUGUACAUAUUAUUUUGCUUCCUUCCUUUUUUGCUGUGCAAAAUGAACACACAUUUUACAAAGUGUAGAAUGUCCAUAACAACCUGCACCAAAGGGCAAUAAGAGUCAAUCAAAAGUCUUUCAUAAGCCUAUUUUAACUUCAUUUUGUAAGAAGUUCGGUCAAUACACCAUGACGAAGAGCAACCUAAGUUUCUAGAAGAAAUAAGCAUUACAUGUCACAUCCUGGCCCAUGCUCUCACCACAUCCCGAACUCGACGCCACCGUAGAACGAUAUUAUCCGCUUUGGGCCCCGACCACGCCUUCACCAUUUUGUUUCAGGGAACUCACACGAGUAACUUCCCAGUGGGUCACCCAUCAUGUAUUGCUCUCGCACGAACUCAAUCAAAUUCAGAUUUCCGAUGGAACAUAAAGCCAGUGAGCUCCCAAAAGGUCUCGUGCAAGGUAGAGAUGGGAAUAUGCAUAUAAGGCUUACAGGAUCCACUCCCUUGGGCGAUGUGGGAUGUUACAUUACACAUUAAUAUGCAGUGUAGCUGCAAUAACCGAACGUAAUGCACGGGUAAAGGCCGAACAAAUGUAAAACUAAUCUCUAUUACUUACAAUGUUUCGCGAAGUUUUUUAAGUUGGCGUGGUAGUUGUUUUAUUACUAUUGUUCAUUCCUUUAUCAUAUGCUUCGCGAAGUUUUUUAAAUUGGCGUGGUAGUUGUUUUAUUACUAUUGUUCAUUCCACUAUCAUUUAGAUAAUGCUUUACAACUCAAAGCGAUAAAGUGAAGUCGUAACAAGGCAUCAAAGCAAAUACAUCGAAAUUUUAUUCUGACGUAAGGAAAUAUCCCACAAAUAUUUUAGCCCUAUAGAAGUUCAAUUCUCUGCUUAAGAUGGCGAAGAAUGUGGGGGGACGGAUGUUACAAUUAUACAAUGAUUAAAUACUCGGUCAGCUCUGGUUUGAAUGGCAGUUCUAUUUUCGGUGUGCUCAUAUGUAAAAGUGCUGUUCACGAAAACAUUAUGGCAUGGUUUUCCCAACUCCACAAGGGCCCGGCAACUAAAGUCACCAAUUUUCUUCCCUUUGAAAACAUAGUUGUACACGUCGAAUGCAUACUUUAUGCUGAAAUGCUUUUUGCACUCAACCACGGCCGGUGAAUCAUCCAAAUGCGCCAACGUUGGAAGUGCGCAAUUCGCCAAAAGCAAAAUGACCAUAAUUGGAAACAUGUUUAGUCUGGCCAUAAUGGUGGAAAGAAUGAGUAACUUUUGAUUUUCUUAGAAAAUGAUCCCUUAGAUGCAGUUGAACAUUGACGUAAGGAGUUGUACACUUAUAAGGGACGAGGCAAAGGUGCGAGUCAUUCGUAAAAUGAAAAACGCAUUUUCCUUUAAAACUACUUUAGCAACGUAUUUACUGAUGUGAGGUAUCAAAUACGAGAGUUUCUAAUUUGAUAUUUAUUUGGGUACCAUAAACGCAACUUACAAGUUCCCAUAAAUUGUUUAAUUAAUCUCAACAAUCAAAUAGCUAUUUAUUAUUUCACAUAAAAAUUACUUGUUUCAAAUUAAUACACUGACUAGUUUGUUACAAUAGAGUUGCGAAAGCCGUGAACUAAACUUUCAUGUCGUGUUAGUGGCUAUCGUUGCGUGAAAAUGAGAUGACAAGCAGGAAAAAGAGCGCGACUAGCCUUAAUUGUUCUGCAGUAAAUGGACAAACGUAUUUCUCGUCAUCAUUAUUCCUACUAUAUGAAAAUGAAAAUGUGGAGGAAGAUAUGAAUUUGUUAAGAAGUGAAGAAUUGUUGAAGUCCAAUAGAUUAAUUAAAUGAGCACACGUUUCUUGGUAAACUCAUUUUCGCACAAAUUAGUAUUAUAUCGAACGCUACUGUGUAUGGUACAAUACUCAUGCCUCACAAGCCCGAAUAUAAUGUUAAUGAGUUGCAGUUGCGUCAAUGAUAAGUUUCAAAUCAUUCAACCAAUAUUCUGGUUUUGGUUAUUCAGACCAAAGAAAAAAAGA
rnacentral:lncRNA from 1 species